AGGGUUCGAUUCUGGCUCAGGAUGAACGCUAGCUACAGGCUUAACACAUGCAAGUCGAGGGGCAGCAUUGGAGUAGCAAUACUCAGAUGGCGACCGGCGCACGGGUGAGUAACACGUAUCCAACCUGCCGCUUACUCGGGGAUAGCCUUUCGAAAGAAAGAUUAAUACCCGAUGGUAUAAAGAGUUCGCAUGUUCUCUUUAUUAAAGAAUUUCGGUAAGCGAUGGGGAUGCGUUCCAUUAGAUAGUUGGCGGGGUAACGGCCCACCAAGUCUACGAUGGAUAGGGGUUCUGAGAGGAAGGUCCCCCACAUUGGAACUGAGACACGGUCCAAACUCCUACGGGAGGCAGCAGUGAGGAAUAUUGGUCAAUGGACGAGAGUCUGAACCAGCCAAAAGUAGCGUGAAGGAUGACUGCCCUAUGGGUUGUAAACUUCUUUUAUAAGGGAAUAAAGUGAGGGACGUGUCCCUUUUUGUAUGUACCUUAUGAAUAAGGAUCGGCUAACUCCGUGCCAGCCGCAGC
rnacentral:rRNA from 1 species